rnacentral:rRNA from 1 species
GCAUAUCAAUAAGCGGAGGAAAAGAAACUAACAAGGAUUCCCCUAGUAACUGCGAGUGAAGCGGGAUGAGCUCAAAUUUAAAAUCUGGCGGUCUCUGGCCGUCCGAGUUGUAUUCUGGAGAAGUGCUUUCCGCGCUGGACCGUGUAUAAGUCUCUUGGAACAGAGCGUCAUAGAGGGUGAGAAUCCCGUCUUUGACACGGACUACCAGUGCUUUGUGAUGCGCUCUCAAAGAGUCGAGUUGUUUGGGAAUGCAGCUCAAAAUGGGUGGUAAAUUCCAUCUAAAGCUAAAUAUUGGCGAGAGACCGAUAGCGAACAAGUACCGUGAGGGAAAGAUGAAAAGCACUUUGGAAAGAGAGUUAAACAGUACGUGAAAUUGUUGAAAGGGAAACGCUUGAAGUCAGUCGCGUUGGCCGGGACUCAGCCUUGCCUUCCGCUUGGUGUAUUUUCCGGUCGACGGGCCAACAUCGAUUUCGAUUGCUGGACAAGGGCUAGCGGAAUGUGGCACCUUCGGGUGUGUUAUAGCCGCUGGUCGUAUACAGUAGUUGGGAUCGAGGACCGCAGCUUCGGCUUAGGAUGUUGGCAUAAUGGCUUUAAACGACCCGUCUUGAAACACGGACCAAGGAGUCUAACAUGCCUGCGAGUGUUUGGGUGGAAAACCCGAGCGCGUAAUGAAAGUGAAAGUUGAGACCUCUGUCGUGGAGGGCAUCGACGCCCGGACCUGAUCUUCGGUGACGGAUCUGCGGUAGAGCAUGUAUGUUGGGACCCGAAAGAUGGUGAACUAUGCCUGAAUAGGGUGAAGCCAGAGGAAACUCUGGUGGAGGCUCGUAGCGAUUCUGACGUGCAAAUCGAUCGUCAAAUUUGGGUAUAGGGGGCGAAAGACUAAUCGAACCAUCUAGUAGCUGGGUUCCUGCCGAAG